rnacentral:rRNA from 1 species
UACAGAGGGUGCGAGCGUUGUCCGGAAUCACUGGGCGUAAAGGGCGCGUAGGUGGCGGCCCAAGUCCAUGGUGAAAGCUCGCCGCUCAACGGCGAGUCGGCCACGGAUACUGGGUUGCUCGAGCACUGUAGGGGCAGAUGGAAUUCCGGGUGUAGCGGUGGAAUGCGUAGAGAUCCGGAAGAACACCAGUGGCGAAGGCGGUCUGCUGGGCAGUAGCUGACACUGAGGAGCGAAAGCGUGGGGAGCAAACAGG